GACGAACGCUGGCGGCGGGCCUAACACAUGCAAGUCGAACGGAAAGGCCCUGCUUUCGUGGGGUGUCCGAGGGGGGAACGGGGGAGUAACACGUGAGUAUCCCGCCCUGGACUUUGGGAUAACUUCAGGAAAGUGGGGCUAAUACCGGAUAGGAGCUGCUGCUGCAGGGGGGGGGUUGGAAAGUUUCGGCGGAUGGGGAUGGAUUCGCGGCUUACCAGCUUGUUGGUUGGGGGGUGGCCUACCAAGCCUUUGGCGGGUAGCCGGCCAGGGAGGGUGGCCGCCCUCCUUGCGCCUGCGGUACGGCCCAGACUCCUACGGGGGGCAGCGGUGGGGAGUAUUGCCCAGUGGGCCGACGCGUGUUGCGGCGACGCCGCGUGCGGGAUGACGGCCUUCGGGUUGUAAACCGCUUUCGCCUGUGACGAAGCUUGAGUGACGGUACUGGGUGAAUGAGCACCGGCUAACUUCGUG
rnacentral:rRNA from 1 species